CAGAUUAUGCAUGCAGUGCGCACCGAUGCAGUAACAGCGCAUACAGCUCCGCAGUGCAACUCUGUACCCCGGAAUUGAUUACCAGGUUAUGCAGUACACACCAGCGUAGCGGAGUCCCUGCAGUCCACUAAUCCUAGGUUGACCCAGUCAAUAUCUCUGUGUUAUUUUCAGGUUUAUACAGUACGCAUAGGCGCAGCAGCAACACAUGCAUCCCCACAGUGCCAAUCUAUGAUCUACGCUAAUGUCAGGUGUGCGUAGGCGCAGUGACAACGUUUGCAUCCCCGCAGCGUGGCACCACCCCCACAACUGGCUUACAGAUAAUUCUAUUUAUCUAUUAACUAUCUAUUCCACUUAGAUUUUCCUAGAUUACAUAAUCUGUCAUUUGAUAACACUAUUAUUUAACAUUUCAGGCAAUACUUCCAGGCUAUCCAGCACAUGCGGACGCAGCAGUAGUGCGCUCGCCCCCGGCGUAUGAGACUGUAUCCCGGCAAUAACCUAACAGGUCACACAGCACGCUCCGGCAGAAUAUCAGCAUGCGUAUCCCCGCAGCGUUACAUCGCAUCCUUCCAAUAAACUACCAGAGGACACCGUUUAUUACUUAUUCCGAUUACACAGUGUAUGCAGACGCAGCAGCAGCACACGAGCCCCCGCAGCGUGGCAUCUGU